GAGCGUCAAGCCAACUGUCCUUGACACGACGUGUAACGAAGGAGGUCUCCUCUCUGUAUUCCCUCUCCCACGUUCGACGAGAGGAACCCUAGGAACCGAAGAGGAGCAAUUCCUGCUUCCAAUUACGAAUUCUACGCCGAUUCCACCGUCUUCCUUGAUCCGUGGUCCCCGGCGAUGCCGAUCUAGCUCCGGAGGGUUGUAAAUCAUCGGGAAUGGCUCAUGGCGGCUACGGCAGGCGUCGGAUCGAGGAGCGGCGACCCCUUGGCCGGCGCUCCAAGGGGGUGGGGCUGGAUAAGAGGCGCAACAAAUUGAAACGCGUCUCCCUCAAGAGUCAGAUCCGUUCCGUCGAGCGCUUUCUUCGUAAGGACUUACCUGAUGAAGUCAGGAAGGCUCAGGAAAAGAAGCUUGAAGAACUCAAACAGCAACAGGAGCUGCAGACACUCUUGGAAUUGGAACAUAAGUUACGUCUGAGGGACAAAAAGAUAAAAUUCUUGGAGAGGCGAAAGGUUGAAAGGAUGAUAAGGAGGCUUGAGAAACAACAACGCACAUCAUUAGAUCAUGUCUCAGAUGAAAGUAUUUUCUAUCAGCUUUCAAAGCUAAAGGAGGAUCUAAAUUAUAUCCGCUUCUUCCCCAAGACUGAAAAAUAUGUGUCACUGUUUGUUGGUGGUGAUAAUCCAGCAAUUGUCGAUAAGAGAAACAAAUUACAUCAACAGGUUAAAGCUUAUCUUAUAACUGCUGCUGCAAAUGGAAAGGAUUUAGAAGAAACAGCAAGUGAUGAUGAUGCUUUAGAUGUCAGUGAGGAUGACUUCUUCUUGAGUGGAAGUUCAAGUGAUGAGGCAGAGGCAGACGAUGAAUGGACAGAUAGAAGUACUAGAGAACCAGCAUCAAGUACUUCUGGGAAAGCAACAUCCGGCAUGUCCAGCGAUGAAAGGAAUCAGAGGCUAAUAUCUGCUCGAGCUCUAAUGCCGCCACCUCGUUCAAUGCCAUCAAGCAGAAACCAGCCUGUUGAAAAUGUGAUGUCUACAUCUAGUAACACAUCAACUACUAGGAGUGGCCCUUCCUCCAAUAGUUCAAGAUUUGUAAAUGGAGUGAGAUCUCAGAACAGCAACGUGAGUUCUGGCUCUGAUGCCCGCAAACCAUGCCGGAAAAGGAGGCUGAAGAAGAAAAAGCUGGUUUGAAUUAUUUCUCACUCGAUCUUUAACUGUGCAUUCAUUAAAUAGGGUUUCACUAUGGAAAACAAUGUUGUCCAUCGUGCAUAAAUGAAACAACAGAGCCAUCCUUUAUGAUCCAAUGAGAGUUAGUUUCCUGAAAUGCUUUUCUUUAGAUGCAUUCGACAGUUAUUUCUCUUUGCAUCCUUGGUUCCAAGGGCCAUUUGGAUAGAAUCUCACUAAGGUCACCAAAUCUGACUCUUGCUUUUCGACAAGCCUGUUCAUAUGUAACUUGUAUGAACUCCACUUGCAUUGUUACUCUUGAUAGCCAGCAAACUCUCUCUGUGAGAGCAAUAGCUUUUAUAAUGACCAUUAAUGCAAUAAUAGAAAGUGCCUCUGCAGAUUGAUUUGUUGCUUUAGUAUAAAAUCAUUUUUAAUGCAAACUGUGUUCUAACAUUUUUACUGUUUAAAAUGUUUGAAUGAAUAUGAUAGUGAUACGGUCCGCUACCUCUUCAAGAACUCAAUAUAUGUAUUAUGAUGCAUUUGGUAUUGAAGAAGAAUAAGGAAGCUGAUGCAUGCGGUGUAUAACCACUGAUACUGGAACUUAUUCGAUCCGUCUGCACCACAGUGAAUACUAUCCAACUCGGGUAAAAACAAUGUCUCUCUUAAGUCACCUGGUUAGCUAUUUCACAAUGUAUUAUAGUUCGCAUUCCCUGCAUUUUCGCUGUUCCUAACGAUUCCAUAAGGGCCUGUUCCUGUCUCUGUUGAUUCUUCGAGUUCUUAGUUACUGAUAUGAUCAACUAUCUUACCGCAUGACAAAUUUUUUUCA